UUCCAUUGGAAAUUUCCCAAAUUUGGCUGCACUACCGGAAGGGAUCGCCAACCUCACAUCACUCCAAUCGCUUUCCAUUAGAGAUUUCCCAAAUUUGGCUGCACUACCGGAAGGGAUCGCCAACCUCACAUCACUCCAAUCGCUUUCCAUUGGAAAUUUCCCAAAUUGGGCAGCACUACCGGAAUGGAUCGCCAACCUCACAUCACUACAAUCGCUUUCCAUUAAUAAUUUCCCAAAUUGGGCAGCACUACCGGAAUGGAUCGCCAACCUCACAUCACUACAAUCGCUUUCCAUUAAUAAUUUCCCAAAUUUGGCAGCACUACCGGAAGAAAUAAGCAAUCUCACGUCAUUGCGGCGUCUUCACAUUACUCAUUGCUCUAAUUUGGCAUCACUGCCAGAAGGGAUUCGUGGAUUCCCCUGUUUAAAUGCAUUGUACAUUUCUGAAUGCCCCAUGUUACUCCAAAGAUACAAGAAAGAAACAGGUAAGGACUGGCACAAGGUUGCUCACAUCCCAUACCUUACUAUUGAUUAAGAUGACAUAUCAUGUGCAUCAAAGAUUUUAUCCACACUUCUGCUUUCUCAAUGAGCAACACCAGUUCCACAGCCAAGCGGGUGUUCAUCUAGCACUUUUUGUGAUAUAGUGUUGUGAAGAUUGUGACGGAGCAAAUACUGUUGUGGCCCAGGGCAGGUGCUAAACUUGAUAAUUGUGGAUAAUGGCCCGAAUACAACGGAUUUGGCUCACUAUUUGGUGCUCCCUGAUCUGAAGUUUUCAGGUUCUGUUGAAAUUUGCUUUCUUGAAACUAACUAUUGGGUGAUGCAUGGUUCUUAAAUUCUCCAGAAGAAUCGCUGGGAUUCGUCCUUGCAGAUGAAGGUUUCAAUGUAUGGGUAGGGAAUGCGCAUGGAACACGUUGGAGUCAUGAACACACAUCUUCAUCAGAAGAGAAUAAUGUUUAUGCUUUAUUGUAGGAUUUUUAGGAUUGGAGUUGGCAGGAAUUGGCUCUAUUUGAUCCAUCAGAAAUGGUGCGCUGCAUAUAUUUGACAACAAGCUCCAAAGUCUUUGUUGUUGGACAUUCACAGGGAACAAUCAUGUCCUUAACUGCUCUCAGCCAGCCAGAUAUAGCAGAACUAGUUGAAGUUGCCGCUCUUUUCUGUCCAAUAUCAUACUUGGAGCAUCACUUCUAAAUUUGCACCUAAAAUAGUCAACAUAUAUGUUGAUCAGUGAAUGGGACGUCAACCUUUUGGAUUCAAUAUGUGAUGGCCAUGUUGACUGCUUGGUGUGGUUGUAUAUGAUUUUGCUUUUGAUUGUCGGGGUUUAGGUACUAUGUCCCCCCCGUUGUAUGUUUUUUAUUCAAGUAAUAUAAUAUGGGCGUGAGGGCCUAGCCCCCCAGCUUCGACUGGGUUCCAGCCCUCGUUAAA